UACGAAGGACCCGAGCGUUAUCCGGAUUUAUUGGGUUUAAAGGGUGCGUAGGCGGAUUUACAAGUCAGUGGUGAAAUCUCCCAGCUUAACUGGGAAACUGCCAUUGAAACUGUUUAUCUUGAGUACAUUUGAGGCGGGCGGAAUGUGUCAUGUAGAGGUGAAAUUCUUAGAUAUGACACAGAACACCAAUUGCGAAGGCAGCUCGCUAAACUGUAACUGACGCUGAGGCACGAAAGCGUGGGAUCAAACAGG
rnacentral:rRNA from 1 species